rnacentral:snRNA from 1 species
UUACUUACCUGGACGAGGUCAAUGGACGAUCAAUAAGGUUCAUGGCCUAGGUUGGUGGAUUUCAUUGCACUUAGAAAUUGCAUCAGCUUAACAUCUCCCAAGGGAGAGUGUGCGUCAUAAUUUGUUAUAGAGGGGACUUGCGUUCGCGCAGUCCCUG